AUGUAAUGUAGCAUACCCGUUUGAUGUUUAACUCUGAUGAUUAUUUUAUAUUUAAUAUAUUUGGGAUAUCGGGGUGUUACAAUUAA
rfam:Medicago truncatula strain A17 chromosome 2, whole genome shotgun sequence.